UCCAGGGUAUUCCAAUAAUGA
rnacentral:siRNA from 1 species